CCUAAAAAUAAAUUAAUGGAUACUAUCUCCAUUUAGGGUUUUUAAAUAGGAUUUACAUCUUUCACAGACCCAUAGAUAUUGGGAAUAGAGGUCCAGUGGAUCUAUAAAACUGUGCGAAUAAUUUGAAUUCUAAAUGGUGUGGUGAGCCUGACCAUUUCACAGAUUGUCAGUAUCUGAAUUGAUUGUAUAGCUUCUUUGACCAUCCCUCUGAAGAAGUCCUAUGUGGACGAAACGCGUCAGGGUUGAAGAGACUUAUACUAC